UGAAGCUUCUUACUCGGGAACUGCGCGAAGCGAAGCCACUGCCCAACUUCCCCAGGAACUGUGUCACCUCCAGAAUGCUUCCAUCCUUCCGGGACAUCUAUCUUCUCCAAGCCCCAACCAUGAAAGAAACUUCCAAAUUAGCAGAUAUGCUGAGAACCUAAGUUGUUCCAGGCACUGAUAGGUGUGAGUAACAUGGUAUAAAAAGUCAUGAACAAAUUCAUAUGAUGCAGUAGAAGAUGCACGUCCUCUCAUGGGAGAACUUCUAGAGGACUAAAGGUUACUGGCCUCUUUUAUUCUUUUCAUCAUGCCCCCAUUCCUGUGAAUGACUCCUGUAGCAUCACUAAAAUGUCAUCUCCAGCUUGUUCUCCAGGAAGAAUGAACGUGUGGAAGCCGGCAUUUGAUUUCUUCCUGCUGGCUACUGACCUUAGGGAGACAGCAUGGACAGUGUGGAUACUCACUCUAACAUCAGGCUACCGAG